GCAAGUUGUGGGGCUCUACCGUUCUUUACACUGUUUUCCGGGCCAAUCCGGACUUCCUUCGAUUUCGGUUUUACGUGCGUGCGUGCGUGCGUUACGUACGUAAUUCCACAUCGCGCUAUCAAACUGUUUAACUCCACUCGCAAACAAACAAAAAGUGAAAGAACGAAAAUGUGAGAUAGCGAAAAACGGAGAAAAAGACAUUUUCCGGUGGAAAAAAGACUCUUCCAAACAUUU